AUUGAACGCUGGCGGCAGGCCUAACACAUGCAAGUCGAGCGAGCGGCGGACGGGAGAGUAAUGUCUGGGAAACUGCCUGAUGGCGGGGGAUAACUACUAGAAACGGUAGCGAAUACUGCAUACCAUCAGGUAGGGGCAGAUGUGAUUAGCUUGUAGGUGGGGUAACGGCUCACCUAGGCGACGAGCCCUAGCUGGUUUGAGAGGAUGAACAGCCACACUGGAACUGAGACACGGUGCAGACGCCUACGGUAGGAAGCGGUGGGGAAUAUUGCACAAUGGGCGCAAGCCUGAUGCAGCCAUGCCGCGUGUGUGAAGAAGGCCUUCGGGUUGUAAAGCACUUUCAGCGGGGAGGCGUUACCCGCAGAAGAAGCACCGGCUAACUCCGUGCCAGCAGCCGCGGUAAUAC
rnacentral:rRNA from 1 species